GGACGGGUGAGUAACGCGUAGGAAUUUACCCAGCAGUACGGAAUAACCAUCGGAAACGGUGGCUAAUACCGCAUACGCCCUACGGGGGAAAGGGGGGGAUCGCAAGACCUCUCACUAUUGGAGCGGCCGAUAUCGGAUUAGCUAGUUGGUGGGGUAAAGGCUCACCAAGGCGACGAUCCGUAGCUGGUUUGAGAGGACGACCAGCCACACUGGGACUGAGACACGGCCCAGACUCC
rnacentral:rRNA from 1 species